CCUGGUGCCAAAAAGGUUGGGGACUACUGCUGUAAAGGACUGAAGCAUCAACAGUCUUCCCACUUCUAUAGGCAAACUAGGAAAAGGAACUCCCAGGCUCAAAGGUCCCUGAGGACAUUUGCCUGAAAAGAGACCAACUUGGAGACCUGGGGCUCUCUCCUUUGACAGCGUGUCCUCCGAAAGCCCAACCCAACUGCUCGCACAUCUGUGCUCCUGAGAACCUGGCUCCAGCUAUCGGCACUGCUACCAAAGGAGUGAGGUAGCCAGGUGACAGGACGAGGUCUCUCCUUUUACACCUGCCCACGGCAAUGACAUUGGGACUUCCCAUGGGCAUCUCCUUUCCGUUCCUCAGCAGCCUACACCGCAGAGUUCUGUUCAAUGCCAGGAGACUGAUUGCAGGGAGAGUGCCAGAAAACCCAGCCGAGAGUGGAAUGAGAAUUAAAGCCUCCAGGGCUUACUGAGCAAUGAGGUCUGCAACGCCAUCCAAAGGGCUUCCGAUCUUGAUGUGGGUCUCUGUCCAGGAGCCUGGAAGGACUCAUGGUGCCCACGUCCCACCCUAAUGUGACACCCAUUUAUGGAGCAUGGAGGUUGUAACCAAUUCUUGGUACGUAAGAAACUGGAAUUAUAAAAACAAGGAAUUUAAAACAAACUAAAAAUGUUUCUUGUUGGUCUCCGUUGCCCAGACUGCAGGAGAAUACGCCUACUUGAUCCAGGGUGGAUGGCGGGGUUAAGCCUAUGGACCACCCGUGCCAGCUUCCGGCGGGAGGCCAGCACAUGUGACCAAUCACAGACAGGAGCUUCUGAGCCCGUAAUUGUCACUAGCCGUGCAGGAGCCCCAGUGCAAUGGAACCCCAUGUCGAGGAAAGGCUGAGACAAAGCUUGGCCCUCAAGUUCUGUUUCCUUCUGUGUCCCCUCCUCCCCCAGUCAGCAGGACGCCGACUUGGCAAUGGCACCUGGCAUUGUAAAAUGGUGCAGUAACAGAAGGAACUGGACCAGGAGGAGGGGCAUCUGCUCCGACAAUGCCAUAGCCAUUGGUGGCACAGUGGGGUGGGACUGGUCACACAGCGUGUGUCGGGAGUGACGAUUGUGGAGGGGCGGGGCAUGACAAGUGUCGUUCUGGAAAGAGCGCAGCGGAGAAGCAAUAUACUCUGCAUAGCUGAUUGUCACCUUCUCACUUCGGUAUCUGGGCUUUGCAAAUGGCGAGAUGGGCAGUGCACCCUGGAUUAAUCCGGUGAACUCCAUCUAAUGUGUCCUUAAAAGCAAAACCCUUUCUGGGCUGUAGAAAACCAGAGAGAUGGCAGCAUGAGAGGAACUUGGCCUGUCACUGCUGACUUUGAAGAUGAAGAAAGGACCCUGAAGCCAAGAAAUGUGGGUGUCCUUGAGAAGCUGGAAAAGUCAAGAAAGCAGAUUGUUUCCUAGAAUGUCCAGAAAGAAACACAGUCUGGCUGUCACCUUGAUUUUCAUCCAAUUGAGAGCCAUUUUGGACUUCUGACAUCCACAACGGUUCAGGGAGAGGCUCUCUCUCUGGAAUUUCCUUAUCUGACCGAGGAAACUUCUUUUCCAAAGAAAUGCAGUUAUCUUAAACCUCUCCCUAAGAAUCUCAUUAAAUAACCAGGAAAGAGUUGUUAGGGACCGACCUUCCACAGCCCCACCGGACAGAAAAGCAGAGACAUCGAGGAUGCAG